GACGAACCGAGCGAACGUUGUUCGGAAUCACUGGGCUUAAAGGGCGCGUAGGCGGCCAACCAAGUCAGGAGUGAAAUCUUUCGGCUCAACCGGAAAAGUGCUCUUGAUACUGGUCGGCUAGAGGGAGAUAGGGGCAUGUGGAACUUCCGGUGGAGCGGUGAAAUGCGUUGAUAUCGGAAGGAAUGCCGGUGGUGAAAGCGACGUGCUGGACCUCUUCUGAUGCUGAGGCGCGAAAGCCAGGGUAGCGAACGGG
rnacentral:rRNA from 1 species